rnacentral:miRNA from 1 species
GUCCGAUCGCGGCCCGAGCCUUCGGCCGCUCCUACAGAUAAUCGGGUGUAGGAGCUGCCGAAGGCUCGGGCCGCGAUCGGUU